CCUACGGGCGGCAGCAGUGAGGAAUAUUGGUCAAUGGACGAGAGUCUGAACCAGCCAAGUAGCGUGAAGGAUGACUGCCCUAUGGGUUGUAAACUUCUUUUAUAUGGGAAUAAAAUGUUCCACGUGUGGGAUUUUGUAUGUACCAUAUGAAUAAGGAUCGGCUAACUCCGUGCCAGCAGCCGCGGUAAUACGGAGGAUCCGAGCGUUAUCCGGAUUUAUUGGGUUUAAAGGGAGCGUAGGUGGAUUGUUAAGUCAGUUGUGAAAGUUUGCGGCUCAACCGUUAAAUUGCAGUGGAAACUGGCAGUCUUGAGUACAGUAGAGGUGGGCGGAAUUCGUGGUGUAGCGGUGAAAUGCUUAGAUAUCACGAAGAACUCCGAUUGCGAAGGCAGUUCACUGGACUGCAACUGACACUGAGGCUCGAAAGUGUGGGUAUCAAACAGGAUUAGAUACCCUAGUAGUC
rnacentral:rRNA from 1 species